UUUGCUAACUUACUGUCAACAGAAAAAAAAGACGGGCGUCUUCUCUCGCUCUCAACUUCCUCUCCAAGUUGCUGCCAUGGGAAGAGGGAUGCAUUUCUCUGUCUCUCUCCUCCUUCCUCUCCCUUUCUACUCUCCUCUUCCUUCUUUUUAGAGCUUUUCGACUCUUUUAAGGCCUUAUCCGCCUCUUUUGAAGCUUUAUUAACCUUUUUUGAGACUAUAUCCCUAAAAUCACACUCAUCCUAUCCACUACUGUCAUACUGCCUUCUCCGAUCUACCAUACCGUUCAUCUCCUCCAUUGUUUCGCUUUGUCUCCGCUGCCCUUGAUACUGACUUAUUUUUUAAGAUAUGAUUUUUCUAAACUAGAUCUGUCAUCCUAUGUUAAUUCAGUCCACCCUCACACAUCUACCUGGCCCUCACGCACCCCUGCCUAACCCUCACGUCCCCAACACCUCCUCUGUUGAUGCUGUUGAUUUAUGAGCUUCAGACUCGCCGUCCUUGAAGGAGAUCCCGCUUUCGUUGUGUUCCCGCAUCCUUCCUUGGUGGCAACCUCAUGGAGUUUGUUAGGGUUCUCUUACUCUUACUCCUGAUUGUUAUAUCUAUCACAUUACACCGCAUAUUUCUCUAGUUGCAUUCUUGACUUUCACCUAACUGUCUAUCUGUUGAAUUGCUUGUAUUUAUUUUCAUUCUUUUUUUUGUUUUUUCUUUUUCUUCUUGUAGUUGUUUCACUUUAAAAAAAAUGUCACAGAAAAGCAUCAUCAUUAUUCAUUA